rnacentral:misc_RNA from 1 species
GAUGAAGAACGUAGCAAAAUGCGAUAAGUAAUGUGAAUUGCAGAAUUCAGUGAAUCAUCGAAUCUUUGAACGCACAUUGCGCCCGCCAGUAUUCUGGCGGGCAUGUCUGUUCGAGCGUCAUUUCAACCCUCAAGCUCAGCUUGGUGUUGGGACUCGCGGUAACCCGCGUUCCCCAAAUCGAUUGGCGGUCACGUCGAGCUUCCAUAGCGUAGUAAUCAUACACCUCGUUACUGGUAAUCGUCGCGGCCACGCCGUAAAACCCCAACUUCUGAAUGUUGACCUCGGAUCAGGUAGGAAUACCCGCUGAACUUAAGCAUAUCAAUAAGCGGAGGA